GGGAUUCGAACGGCAGGCGGGAAGUGCUCUAGCAGGGGAGUCUGACCUUGUGAGGGAAUACCUGUGUCCCCCCUUUUUUCCCCUUUUUACCCAAUAAAACCCUGCCUUACUCACCCUUUAAAUCAUCUGCGAGCCUGAAUUUUCAUGGCCGUGGGACGGACAAGAACUUUAUCUUCAGCUGAACUAAGAAAAAGUCCUGCAACAUUUUUGGCGCGCAAUGUGGGGGCACCAGAAGCGGAAGUUUCUAGUGUAAAGGAAGCCCUAUGGAUGUUCUGUGAUCACCCACUCUCACAUCCAUAAUGGGUCAAGUGAGCCAAGAGAACUGACUCUGAGAAGGCGUUCCAAGCUCUUUGUGCAAUGGUGUUUAAAAUGCAAGAUUCCUGUCUGAGAGAGAAAUGACUUGAAGAGCGUUAAUGCAAACCCCCGUUCUGCUCUUCAAGCAGCUGUGUGCCUGGCAGACCCCAUAGGCAGAGAAGGGACUUGCAUGGGCCAUGAUGAUACAUAUUCAGCAGUGAAGAAGACUUGAUUCUGCACCUUGCCGGUUACAGCUGCCAGAUUGUGAGUGAUUGAUAGAGAACUUUGUUAAUGAUGUGGAAUUCACUUCUGGCAUGCUCUGCCCAAAUACGUAUGCAAUAUAUUAUUAGUGCCCUCAACAACAGGCCUGUCCAGAUGUGAUUUAAUUCAAAGCCUGAUUACCUUUUUCUCUUUUUACUCUUAUAAUUGGAAUGUUGUUGAUCAGAUUCUGCUUCUAAUAAAAAUGGCAAAGCACGCA
rnacentral:lncRNA from 1 species